GUAGGAGACGAGCGUUGUCCGGAGUUACUGGGCGUAAAGGGUGCGCAGGUGGCGGCGCGCGUGGGGGGUGAAAUCGCCCGGCUUAACUGGGCGGGGGCCUUCCAGACGGCGUGGCUUGAGCAGCGGAGGGGGACGUGGAAUUCCGGGUGGAGCGGUGAAAUGCGUAGAGAUCCGGAGGAACACCGACGGCGCAGGCAGCGUCCUGGCCGCUUGCUGACACUGAGGCACGAAAGCUGGGGGAGCAAACAGGAUUAGAUACCCUGGUAGUCCCAGCCGUAAACGAUGUCCACCAGGUGCUGGGCGGAUCGACCCGUUCAGUGCCGCAGCUUACGUGAUGAGUGGACCGCCUGGGGAGUACGGCCGCAAGGUUG
rnacentral:rRNA from 1 species